rnacentral:tRNA from 1 species
GCGGAUGUGGCGGAACUGGUAGACGCGCCGGAUUUAGGUUCCGGUGCCGCAAGGCGUGGGGGUUCGAGUCCCUUCAUCCGCACCA